UACGUAGGGGGCUAGCGUUGUCCGGAAUCAUUGGGCGUAAAGAGCGUGUAGGCGGCUCGGUAAGUCCGCUGUGAAAGUCCAGGGCUCAACCCUGGAAUGCCAGUGGAAACUGUCGAGCUAGAGUCCGGAAGAGGCGAGUGGAAUUCCUGGUGUAGCGGUGGAAUGCGUAGAGAUCCGGAAGAACACCGGUGGCGAAGGCGGCCCGCUGGGCAGAGACUGACGCUGAGGCGCGAAAGCGUGGGGAGCAAACAGG
rnacentral:rRNA from 1 species